GAUGAACGCUGGCGGCGUGCCUAAUACAUGCAAGUCGAGCGAACGGACGAGAAUCUUGCUUCUCUGAUGUUAGCGGCGGACGGGUGAGUAACACGUGGAUAACAUACCUAUAAGACUGGGAUAACUUCGGGAAACCGUAGCUAAUACCGGAUACUAUUUUGAACCGCAUGGUUCAAAAGUGAAAGACGGUCUUGCUGUCCCUUAUAGAUGGAUCCGCGCUGCAUUAGCUAGUUGGUAAGGUAACGGCUUACCAAGGCAACGAUGCGUAGCCGACCUGAGAGGGUGAUCGGCCACACUGGAACUGAGACACGGUCCAGACUCCUACGGGAGGCAGCAGCAGGGAAUCUUCCGCAAUGGGCGGAAGCCUGACGGAGCAACGCCGCGUGAGUGAUGAAGGUCUUCGGAUCGUAAAACUCUGUUAUUAGGGAAGAACAUAUGUGUAAGUAACUGUGCACAUCUUGACGGUACCUAAUCAGAAAGCCACGGCUAACUACGUG
rnacentral:rRNA from 1 species